rnacentral:rRNA from 1 species
GACGAACGCUGUCGGCGUGCUUAACACAUGCAAGUCGAACGGAAAGGCCCUGCUUUUGUGGGGUGCUCGAGUGGCGAACGGGUGAGUAACACGUGAGUAACCUGCCCUUGACUUUGUGAUAACUUCAGGAAACUGGGGCUAAUACCGGAUAGGAGCUCCUGCUGCAUGGUGGGGGUUGGAAAGUUUCGGCGGUUGGGGAUGGACUCGCGGCUUAUCAGCUUGUUGGUGGGGUAGUGGCUUACCAAGGCUUUGACGGGUAGCCGGCCUGAGAGGGUGACCGGCCACAUUGGGACUGAGAUACGGCCCAGACUCCUACGGGAGGCAGCAGUGGGGAAUAUUGCACAAUGGGCGGAAGCCUGAUGCAGCAACGCCGCGUGCGGGAUGACGGCCUUCGGGUUGUAAACCGCUUUCGCCUGUGACGAAGCGUGAGUGACGGUAAUGGGUAAAGAAGCACCGGCUAACUACGUGCCAGCAGCCGCGGUGAUACGUAGGGUGCGAGCGUUGUCCGGAUUUAUUGGGCGUAAAGGGCUCGUAGGUGGUUGAUCGCGUCGGAAGUGUAAUCUUGGGGCUUAACCCUGAGCGUGCUUUCGAUACGGGUUGACUUGAGGAAGGUAGGGGAGAAUGGAAUUCCUGGUGGAGCGGUGGAAUGCGCAGAUAUCAGGAGGAACACCAGUGGCGAAGGCGGUUCUCUGGGCCUUUCCUGACGCUGAGGAGCGAAAGCGUGGGGAGCGAACAGGCUUAGAUACCCUGGUAGUCCACGCUGUAAACGGUGGGUACUAGGUGUGGGGUCCAUUCCACGGGUUCCGUGCCGUAGCUAACGCUUUAAGUACCCCGCCUGGGGAGUACGGCCGCAAGGCUAAAACUCAAAGGAAUUGACGGGGCCCCGCACAAGCGGCGGAGCAUGCGGAUUAAUUCGAUGCAACGCGUAGAACCUUACCUGGGUUUGACAUGGAUCGGGAGUGCUCAGAGAUGGGUGUGCCUCUUUUGGGGUCGGUUCACAGGUGGUGCAUGCCUGUCGUCAGCUCAUGUCGUGAGAUGUUGGGUUAAGUCCCGCAACGAGCGCAACCCUUGUUCACUGUUGCCAGCACGUUAUGGUGGGGACUCAGUGGAGACCGCCGGGGUCAACUCGGAGGAAGGUGGGGAUGACGUCAAGUCAUCAUGCCCCUUAUGUCCAGGGCUUCACGCAUGCUACAAUGGCUGGUACAGAGAGUGGCGAGCCUGUGAGGGUGAGCGAAUCUCGGAAAGCCGGUCUCAGUUCGGAUUGGGGUCUGCAACUCGACCUCAUGAAGUCGGAGUCGCUAGUAAUCGCAGAUCAGCAACGCUGCGGUGAAUACGUUCCCGGGGCU